rnacentral:SRP_RNA from 1 species
CAAUAGAGGUGGAGCAACACUUGUGCGUGAAGUGGGUCAGGGGAGGAAUCCAGCAGCCCUAAGCGAUAUCGGGUGUGUGCUCUUUUUUUAUUUUCAAAU